UACAACCAUGAUCUACACACAACACUCUGUUCAAACAAGCCACCGUGUUGUCAAUGGUUGUAGACCCAACUCAGUGAGUUGCAACCAUUCCCAACCUUUGCCUCUUCUGUUUGACAACGCCUUCAUCAUCAAAUGUGACAAAUGUGUGGAAUUGUUUCCGGCUCUGGAUAUGUAACUUCAGUAACUGUGCCACAAACACCAUUAACCAACCCGUCACUGACGUCAAUAUUCUUUUAUAACAUGACUCAAGCACCUUGUCCUAAGGUCAAAUGUGCUGGCGAUUACGUCUUCUGUUUAACAGGCCAGUGAAUGCACCAACUUUCUCUCUGACAAUGGCUCUUAAUUCAACAAUUUUAAUGAAGCCCUGAGGUCCAUACCCAAACACUCAGCAGACAGCGGUUUACCUUAAACUGGAGGUCAUUGAUAAAAAUCGCCUACAGAGAUAAUACACAUUACCAAACAGGGCAUGAGUGCUGGUGUUACUCCCCACCUGAAGGCGGCCCUAUGGGGCGUAACACCGGCACUUUGACCUAUUAAAGUAACAACAACACCUAAGUUUAACAUGUGACUUACGAUAACUAAAAACAAAAAAUUAAAUAAUUAACCAAGACGCAACUAAAGAACAAAUUAACAAGACAACUACAACACAAAGAUCCAAAACCACAAAUGAGAGACAGCAGGGCAGUAGAUCCCCACUAAAUGCCUCUCCCAACUGCAGGCAGCUGUGGGCCUUUAAACUCUGAGGCUCAGGUGAGGCUGAUUUCCAAUCAUAGACUUCAUCAAAAAAUGAUGGCGCAGUCUAAACUCCAGUGUGGUUGUUUUUUAUAUACAUCGACUCCUCAAAAACAGCAAACGGCGGCAAAAAUAUUUACAGUGCAGGAAACAAAACAAAACAAAAAAAUAGGCAAAUAAAUAAUGUACUUACAAGUUUCCAGAAGGACUUAAACUUCUUUACUUGUAACCCAUGAUGCCAUGGGGCCAAGAGCUCCCCUCAGAGUGAGCAAAACGCUCUUUAAAUACCCCUUAGCCCCUCCCCUGGGCAAAUCCAUAAACCAAUUAUAGGGGUUUAAGACACAAUAAGCAAAAUUCAACACAAAAUCAUCAAUAAAUCAGACAUUUCAACAUGGACAAAAAACGCACUAAUGGCCUUCCAUACAGCCUCGAUCUUAAUCAUUGAAAACACAUUAAAUCAGACCAAAACACCAUAGGUGAACUAUACUGGUAUGGUCCGGCGGUCACAUGACCCCCAAAAUCGCGCAACCAUGCGCUAUUUACUGAGGGACCAGGUAGUGCUUCGGUUUGGCGUAGAAGAUGGCAGCAUGUAAGUGAGUGUGUGUCUCUCUGUGUGUAGUUGUCGAUUGUGCACUCUCAAACGCCGACAACGGGGAGAAAAGAGUCCAGGUAAAAAGUGUAACGGUUGGUUAAAGUGCAGGACCGCGGGGCCGGCAGGGAAACAGUUAAACAGUUUGACGGAGCUUGGCUUCCUGUGGAACAAGUGCGCUACGUGCGCGUUCCCGGCACCGUCACUCUCAGGCCGCGAGACAGAGACCCGCGCCAGUCGGAGAAUGACGCGGCGUGUAACUGCGCUCCGCCACAGUGUAGCUUGGGGAGAGGACGAAAGUGAAUGGUUUUUGGAAAUUUGGAACAAGAGAGCAUAAAUGCACAACUAUAUACUACCUACCGUCAUGAAAAAUGUCUUUGAAGAGGUUUUAGAGGAUGAAAGCGGCUGGUUAAAAUCAAACAUUUGUACAGAGCAGAGUUCAUCACACCUGAACUGGACCAGAAAGAGAACCUGGUCCUCUUUGAAAUGAACUCACAAUAUGAACGCACAAAAGAACCAGUUCCUUUGCUUUCAGUCCACUUUUUGGCCCACUUAAAGAAGACUGAGUUUGGUUCUCUUAAAAGGGACCAAGAGUGAAAACAACCCAAAAUUAUGUCUAGAUAUUGGUCAAAUGUAGGGCUGGGCGAUACGGGAAAUUUUUUUAUCACAAUGUAUUUUUUUCAUAUUAGUUGAUAUCUAUCUAACACAAUAUUAAAAAAGGAAAUUUAACAGUGCUUAUUGGUAGCAUGUCUUUUGCAAUACAGUAAGCUACUGCAUCUGGGAGGUGUGUCUCUUUGACGAUUUGUCAUAAGGCGUUGCGCUAGAGACAUGGUAGAAUGCCUGUUAGAAAGCCCAUGUUGUUUAGGUGUUUUCAAGUAAAUACUGUGUGUGAGAUGCCUCAGCUGCAAAAGUUUAGUUUUCUCCUCAUGCAGCAGAGGAUAGUUUGUAAAUUUCCUCGUACCUGUUUUUAUCCAAUAUGCACCUUCACAUUCCAGGUUUAUUGGUUGUAAAUCCCAGGAGUGAGUUUUAUGAUGUGUUACUGUCUAAGUCGGGUGCUAUAUUGUGUGACUGUAUUGUUGACCGUGAAUAUGGCUAAUGCUUUUUCAUGCUACUCGAUGUUCAUGUUAUGUAUGGUGUGAGCUGUACUGAUUGUUGCUUUGUAUUUUUAUCUGCCGAACUACAAUCAAAUAAAUCCACCACUAAACUGGACAUCUGUAUCCUGUCUUUUAACGGGGACACACCAUACACCUUGGCGCUAUAACCCAGCAAAGUCCUGUAGAACGCCCUUUUCUCCUUUUUUUUAUGCCGACUAUCGAAAAGGCAUAUCGACCAUGUUUUGUAUCGAUAUCAAGGAAAAUUUAUUUUUCGAUAUCGUUAUUAUUUUAUCGCCCAGCAGUACCACAACACCACACAACCCCAAAGCACACGCCUACCCAACAAAUGGAUGAUGAGAACAAUUCACACAAACACAUAUAGCUGCUGUCCUUGCUUGCUUUCAUUUUCAUUCACAUUGUUUUAUUCUUUUCCAUUGGUUACAGUCAUCCCUGAUGAGGAAAUAAUGGUUGUACCAUUAGACAACAUGGACCUGACACCAUCUACAUCAACAGAAGACAGCUCCUCCACUUCAUCGCAGGACAAUGCUGCUCAUGGCCACUUGCCUCGGUAAGCUGAUCAGUUUCACGGCACACAUUUGCAUCUACAUUGAACAUUACCAAAACAUAUUUCUACACCCCCCACCCUCACCACCCACAAACUUUAUCGCCCACCAACUUCUCCAUCCAGGUCCCACACCCUCCUACCAUGUAGUAACAUCUUACAGCACCGGCAUGGACUUCUGACAAAUUUUGAUUCAGCUGCUUCUACAAUUAAACAUACAACACAUUUAAUGAUUGCAGUCCCAAACUUUCAAAGACUUCAGUGUAGCCACAUUCUGCCUACACAGUCACAGUUGCAUUGUACUACACAUCUUCUCAGACACAGACACAAGCUUGCACUAUCAAAUCUUUUGAUAAAUUGCUUUCUUACAGUAAACUGUGACUGUAGCAUAUUGUUACAUUCAUCACCACAAACACUUGCAUCACUAACACAGUGCCAACCGCCAUUUGCACAUGGAUUAAUGCACAACCUCAUGACUGCCUGCAUGGGAAACCACAACACCCCAUCUCCACCCCUGUGUACCACCACCCUAAUGCACUGCCCCUUCUUGCACUGAUAUCCCUGGUGUGUUGUGCUCCAUGGCAGCUAUCUAAUUUUGUGUUGGCAGGAAGUUGUGCCUGCCUUAGAGUGUUGUGGGUGAUUUUAGGCCAACAUGCCGUCCAGCACUAUUCUUGCAAAUGUUGGUGUACAUUUUGUGCAUGAACACAAUAUUGACCGAUUGUAUGGCCUUCGUUUAAUUUGAAAUAGUCUGCAAGAGCCUCUUAGCCUACCUUUCAAAUGGGUUAUUUUCUCAUUCCCUCUGUUCCUCUUUCACUGAGUCCUUUUUUAAUUUCUUUAUCAUUUAACCUUCUCUUUACUUUGAGUUUAUUCUUAACAAUGUGCCAACAUUUUGGGUUUAUAUUUAUCUUCUGUUGAUGUGAAGCCCUUCUUUCGAAUGAAAAGCACUAUACCACCAAAGGAGCCUUGCAAUGGAUGCAUGGGUCUGAAACUUGUCUGUUGCUAGGCUAUAUGUCUCCAUGUCCAGAUUAAAUAAGUUAAAGGACAUUCAGUGUGUUUUACUGAGUGUUUUUAGCUUCAGCAAGAACCAACAAGAACAUAUGUUUUGAUCUUUUUUGGAUAAUGCAAAGUAGUCACGAGACAAGUGUGGCAAAAACAACUAUGCAGGACUUGAGUUCAGUUCUUCAGGGGACGUUAAAAGAAAAAAAGUAAUAAUAAAAUCUGUUUGUUAUUUCCUGUCCUGACAGUAGAGCCUGCACUGGAAGCCUCUUUACUGAGGAGCCCUGCAGGCAGACCACUCACAUCUUGACAUUAAGCAUUAUUCACCUUGCCCUCACAUCCUGAACUCCAUCUGAUUUAUUUAUGUUUGCAUUUUUCCCUUUCAACAUUUCAACACUAAGACCCAGGCUGUCUCAGCAGAGGAAGUGUACAAAAAAAAAAAAAAAAAGGUUGCCUGUUUUUUCCCUCCUUCAUCCAAAGGUAUUAGAUGAAGGAAUGAAUGAAUGAAGGAAAUGCUUAAUUCAGAAAAUCAGGCUAAUUCACGUGAGCCUACCAUAGUCUGGCAACCCUGUUGGGAAGCACAGGGGAGAGAUAAUGGCUUCUGUCUACAGUACAUUGUAGAACAUGAGAGUCUGUCAGUGCCUCAUGCAGUUUUUGUCUGGGUUGAAGGACAUAGCUGUAAUUUGGUUGCCAAAUUGAUCUAAAGGGAAAAUGAUGAGAGGCUGUUUUAAAUUUCUUUGGAGGAGUUUUGAUUUUCUUGACGGGAUAUUCGCUGUUGAAGAGUCAACUACAAGCAAGAUAUUAAUAGAAGAACCAAACGCAGGCAUUUUUUCUUUUUAAAUUUCAAUUUUACCAUGAGUAUUUUGUUUACAUAAGAGACUAAACAUAUCUUUCCAAACUACCUGAGUCAACUGAGCUCAUACUAGAAAUUGUCAGCUCUACUCUGGUCUACUGGUCCCUGUGCUCUUUGUACCUGAUACUUUUGUUAAAGCAUUCUGAAGUGAGGAAACUGAAAUUAUCACUGAGAAAAACUGAACAUCCUGAGCUCACCUAGAGCUGAUGUAAAAUUAAUAAAGGCAUUUCACACCAACUGUGCAAAGCAAAUGUGUUUGUUUUGUCUGUCACAUUUAAUGGUCUUUGUCCCUCGGGGGGAACUCCUGCUGCGCUAACCUGUUUCCUGAUUGAGAUGUAUCUUUGUUGGUUUUCAUAUUCAAGUUUAACUGCGCUCUCAAAUCAUUCCUGCCUAAUUUCAGUGUGCCAUUCUCUGUGUUUAUUCAGGGCUAACGCCUAGUCUUGGAUCGGAUGACAAAAUGAAGAGACAGGCUGACACUGGGCUGUCAGGGUGAUGCCAAGCCAUCUGCUCCUCAGGAGCUUCAGAGCGGGAGAGAGGUGUGCAGGAUCAGAGAAGAAAAGAGUAAGAAACCCAUCACUAACACCAAAAACUGAAUUUUGCCUCACCCACAAUCCCCAAGAAGUUGAAUUUAACAUAGCAAAACACAAAAAUAGCUUGAAAUAUAAAAAGGCAGCGUUAGAAAUUCUAAUGCAAAGCUGCUGGCUCUUGCAAAAUAAGCAAAAUCUUACUCAGAUUUGGUGUUACUCAUGGAACCCUGAAGAGAAUCCCAGAUGGCAGCACCUCAGCAGUCCUGAGUCAUCUGGUGUGCAGAUAAAGGUCACACCACAAGAACUGGAGAGAAAGCGGGCAGACUCCAAUUUUAUAAAUGUUCAUUUUUUAACUUCGUAGUCCUCAUUCGCUUCAAGUUCAAUGUGUUAAAAAGGAUGAUACAAAAAGGUCGUGAUAGCCAGCAUUGCAGCCAGUGUAGUAACAUCCUUUUUUUCUUGAAAAGAGACAUUCUAAGAGGUAAUCUCUGGUUAAAUCAGAUCAUCAAAUUGUUGGAAAAUAAAAACAGGAAAACAGCAAAAAUAGUUCAACACAAGAAGCCUAUUUAGCCAACCCCA
rnacentral:lncRNA from 1 species